GCGAGAAUACACAUGAUGAAACACUGGUUCUCGUACGAUUACUGAAGUUAAGCAACAUCGAGCCUGAUCACUAACUAGAUGGGUGACCGCUUGGGAAUGCCAGGUGCUGAAA